UUUCUCUCUCUCUUCGAAAAUCAACCAAACCCUGGCCAGGUAGCUCAGUGGGUUAGAAGUGUCAUCCUGAUGUGCUGAGAUUGUGGGUUUGAAUCCCAGUUAGGGCACAUGAAAAAAUCAACUGAUGAAUGUAUAAAUAAGUGGAAC